rnacentral:rRNA from 1 species
UACGUAGGGUGCGAGCGUUAAUCGGAAUUACUGGGCGUAAAGCGUGCGCAGGCGGUUUUGUAAGUCAGAUGUGAAAUCCCCGGGCUCAACCUGGGAACUGCGUUUGAAACUACAAGGCUAGAGUGUAGAAGAGGGGGGUAGAAUUCCACGUGUAGCAGUGAAAUGCGUAGAGAUGUGGAGGAAUACCGAUGGCGAAGGCAGCCCCCUGGGCUAACACUGACGCUCAUGCACGAAAGCGUGGGGAGCAAACAGGAUUAGAAACCCCGGUAGU